UUCCUCCACCAUUAAUUGUUUACAUUCUCAUCAGGGAGAGAGAGAGAAAAAUUCUUCUACCUAGAGUAAUUUCAGAGCAUCUAGGACCAUUUGCCCAAAGCCUUUUCCGGUCGAUCUGGUAGUCUUGGAGCUCCGGUUUCGUCGGGUCAUCCGAGUUCCAACGGUAGAUUGAGAAGGCUUCCAGAGAUGUAGAGGUGCGUGUGCUGAUGGUUCGACUUGCUGAGACUCUGUAAGAGUGGUGAAAGGUAUGGCUUUAAUGCCAUAGAGCAAGGAAGGCUCAACGGUAAGACAUUUGAGCCAUAAAGCUAAGUUCCCUUGCUACAACCAUCAAAGUCCACGUCUAAAAGGAUUGUCAAGUGCCAGAUCAAGCACUGUACUUGCUCUUUUUAGUUGAUCAGCCAUAUCAACAGUGGUUGAUUCUCCCCUGCAUAUCUGCCUUCGUUACUGUGCAGCUGUAAUAAUGUUUUAAUUUCACUGUAUCAAGCAUAUGAACCUGUUGUAAACAUGAUAAGUAAACUGGUGAUGUUUUACUUAAAUUGUAUUUUAUAUUUAGUGUGAUUAAGUAUGGCACGUAUUUUACUGA